AGAGUUUGAUCCUGGCUCAGGAUGAACGCUAGCGGCAGGCUUAACACAUGCAAGUCGAGGGGUAACAUUGUGCUUGCACAGAUGACGACCGGCGCACGGGUGCGUAACGCGUAUAGAACCUACCUUUUACAGAGGAAUAGCCUUUAGAAAUGAAGAUUAAUGCCUCAUAGUAUUGUAGACUGGCAUCAGUUUAUAAUUAAAGAUUUAUCGGUAAAAGAUGGCUAUGCGUCCUAUUAGUUAGUUGGUAAGGUAACGGCUUACCAAGACAGCGAUAGGUAGGGGUCCUGAGAGGGAGAUCCCCCACACUGGUACUGAGACACGGACCAGACUCCUACGGGAGGCAGCAGUGAGGAAUAUUGGACAAUGGAGGAGACUCUGAUCCAGCCAUGCCGCGUGUAGGAAGAAUGCCCUAUGGGUUGUAAACUACUUUUAUACAGGAAGAAACACUGGUAUGUAUACCAGCUUGACGGUACUGUAAGAAUAAGGACCGGCUAACUCCGUGCCAGCAGCCGCGGUAAUACGGAGGGUCCGAGCGUUAUCCGGAAUCAUUGGGUUUAAAGGGUCCGCAGGCGGUCUAUUAAGUCAGAGGUGAAAUCCCAUAGCUCAACUAUGGAACUGCCUUUGAUACUGGUUGACUUGAGUCAUAUGGAAGUAGAUAGAAUGUGUAGUGUAGCGGUGAAAUGCAUAGAUAUUACACAGAAUACCGAUUGCGAAGGCAGUCUACUACGUAUGUACUGACGCUGAGGGACGAAAGCGUGGGGAGCGAACAGGAUUAGAUACCCUGGUAGUCCACGCCGUAAACGAUGGAUACUAGCU
rnacentral:rRNA from 1 species